rnacentral:rRNA from 1 species
GACGAACGCUGGCGGCGUGCCUAAUACAUGCAAGUCGAGCGAGUCUGCCUUGAAGAUCGGAGUGCUUGCACUCUGUGAAACAAGAUACAGGCUAGCGGCGGACGGGUGAGUAACACGUGGGUAACCUGCCCAAGAGAUCGGGAUAACACCUGGAAGCAGAUGCUAAUACCGGAUAACAACAGAUGAUGCCUAUCAACUGUUUAAAAGAUGGUUCUGCUAUCACUCUUGGAUGGACCUGCGGUGCAUUAGCUAGUUGGUAGGGUAACGGCCUACCAAGGCGAUGAUGCAUAGCCGAGUUGAGAGACUGAUCGGCCACAUUGGGACUGAGACACGGCCCAAACUCCUACGGGAGGCAGCAGUAGGGAAUCUUCCACAAAGGACGCAAGUCUGAUGGAGCAACGCCGCGUGAGUGAAGAAGGGUUUCGGCUCGUAAAGCUCUGUUGUUGGUGAAGAAGGACAGGGGUAGUAACUGACCUUUGUUUGACGGUAAUCAAUUAGAAAGUCACGGCUAACUAAGUG